rnacentral:lncRNA from 1 species
CCCAAAUGUGGUGAUGGCCACUGCCCUCGCUCACCCCAGACUGGUGAUUUCUGGAGCGUUCUGUGUAAUUGGAGCACAUUAAGCAUAUGGCAGCGUCUGCACGGCCGUCGGUCUGUCCCGAGCUCCCCAGCCCUGGGCUCUGGUCUCUUUCCUGUAACAAGAUCUAGAUCCGCCACCACGUGGGCCCUGCCCUCCAGACCGCGGGGAUGGGGGACGGACGGGGCUGUACAUCAGCCAGGACUUCCUGGAGUUUGUAGCGACAUAAAUAACGGCAGGAGACAGGAUCGCCUGGCCUGCUGCCGUGUGGUCACCGCCCCGCAGAGCCCGCUGGGGUCCCUCCACACGGCUGCCCCCUCCCCCCACAGCGCCCCUUGGCCUUCCAGCUCCUGCAGCUCCAGGGGCCACGAGGAGCAGGGUGGAGGCCCCAAAGGCUGGGUGGAGGCCGAGGCGCUCAUUUGACACCCAACUAACUCCACCAUGUAGUGAAGUUUUCCAGGAAAUUUGAUUCUUUGUAGUUAUCCGCGAAAGUAGGGCACAUCCCGACAUCAGGCCGCGGAGGACGACUCCCUGUUCCUUUGGUUGGAUGUGUCGCGGAGUUCACGGGUCCUGGGUUCAUCUAUGAGCGCCGGAGAGCUCUGCCCCGUUCAUUCCGCUGCCUUUCCCCUCCCCCGUCUACCCAGUGAACCCCCCACUGCGCCAGCACCCCCCCCACCAGAGCCAGCACUCAGCCUUGGUUUCUUGGGUUCCUUGGGGCCUGUGCCAAUCCUGUCCCUAUGACUGACUGGGAACUUGGAGGAGAGGGCUGCAUUUCACUUGGCCAGCCCUUGGAAACUCGGAAGCCAUCUGUGGCACCUCAUUUUGUAGAUGAAUGAAGAAAGUGGCGCGUGUCACAGAGCAGGGCUGGAAAGAACUCGCUUGUCCAUCCAUGGGAGAAUCGACAAGAGCUGUUUGUGGCUCAGAAUAUCACACAGCCAUCAAAAGGAGUGCCCCGGCCAGGCACAGUGGCCAUGCCUGUAAUCCCAGCUCCUCAGGAGGCUUGGGCAGGGGGAUCUCAAGUUCGAGGCCAGCCUGGGCAACUUAGCAAGGCCCUAUCUCAACACAUGAAAAGGACUGGGGUGUACCCCAGUGAUAGAGCGCCCCUGAGUCCCAUCCCCAGUGCUGCUCCCCAAAACCAAACCUGUUACUACACUUGCCAAAAAAACAUGGGUCUUGAAAAUUAAGAUUGACAAAGUUGCAGAUGAGCCAC